CUUUCCCUCCUGCAGGGGGAAUGUGAAGCCAGAAGAGGGGCAGUUCCCUUGCAGCUUGGAAGUGACCACAUACCUACUUGCUGCAUCUCUCUUACACGUGAUCCUACUGAUAACUCACUCAGAUUUUGAAGAGGUAGUUUUCAAGGCCUGGGGCCCCAGAGUAGAGCUUAACUCUGUCUGCAGCACAGAGUUAGUUGCCAUCCAAGCCCAGACAGCGCCUUCCCCUUCCUCUCCGGAGCCACCCACGGUUUGACACGCACAAACUGGAGGGGCUCUUUCCACAUGGCGUGGCAGGGCCAUGGAGAGACGGCUCCCGGGUAAUGAGACAAUUAGCUCCUCGCAUUCUUCCUGCAGGAACAAAUCUGGGCUCCCACCGCAUCUGUCUCCGCCUGUUCUUCCAGCUGGCCUCCCUACCACGUGGACACCCCCCACCCCAGCAGCCAGGCCCGGCUGCCCUCCGCUUGCAGGAUGGCCCUGGGGGUGGGGGGUGCUGGGGGACCACGCAGGACCAGAGACCCGCAGCAGUGGGUGGGGGCACUUCUCUGUCCCUGAACUCCUUGUCAAGAGUUCUCCGACAGGUUGGCAAGCCCCAUCCUGAAAGCUGCUCUCUAGCUGAGAAGGCAUAUGGACUGUUGACAGAGCAGCUGCUGGGGGAAGAAGACGCGGAAAGGAAGCCUCCAGGGAUAAACUGAGAAAUCAUGACAUCCACCCGCGUGGCUCCCCAGGCGUGCAGCUCCUGCUCCUUCCGGGCCUGGGCGAGUGGUCGAUCUGCUCUGAAAAUAAUGAUCGUCCUAAUAGCUUGGGUGGGGCACUUCCUACAUGCCAGACUUUUCUGUAAACUAUUUGAGGUCUAUGAUUCCACAGACUCCUUUAAGCUGUCUUUAAGCUGUGAUGGUUUCUGUUUUGGAUAUGAGAAAGCAAGCAAGGAAACAAAUAAACAACGGCAACAGCAAACAGG